UUGCACAGUGAGCACCCAAGUGUGUUUCAUAGUUUCCUUGGCUUUGAUUCUGUGCUUAGAGCAAUAUCUGUUCUUAUCCUCUGCAUUGAAAGGACUCUAUCCUUUAAAAUGUAUUCAGAAAGUCAGCACAUUU